UACGGAGGGUGCAAGCGUUAAUCGGAAUUACUGGGCGUAAAGCGCGCGUAGGCGGCUUUGUAAGUCGGAUGUGAAAGCCCCGGGCUUAACCUGGGAAUUGCAUUCGAUACUGCAUAGCUAGAGUAUGGUAGAGGGUAGCGGAAUUCCGGGUGUAGCGGUGAAAUGCGUAGAUAUCCGGAGGAACACCAGUGGCGAAGGCGGCUACCUGGACCAAUACUGACGCUGAGGUGCGAAAGCGUGGGGAGCAAACAGG
rnacentral:rRNA from 1 species